rnacentral:rRNA from 1 species
UAGCUGAUCGCACGGUCUAAGUACCGGCGACAUAUCCUACAAACGUCUGCCUUAUCAACUUUCGAUGGUAGAUUAUGCGCCUACCAUGGUUGUAACGGGUAACGGAGAAUCAGGGUUUGAUUCCGGAGAGGGAGCCUGAGAAACGGCUACCACAUCCAAGGAAGGCAGCAGGCACGCAAAUUACCCACUCCCGGCAAGGGGAGGUAGUGACGAAAAAUAACAAGCUGGUCUCUAUGAGUUCCGGCAUUGUAAUGGGAACAACUUAAAUCAUUUAUCGAGGAUCUAUUGGAGGGCAAGUCUGGUGCCAGCAGCCGCGGUAAUUCCAGCUCCAAUAGCGUAUAUUAAAGUUGUUGCGGUUAAAAAGCUCGUAGUUGGAUCUACGACCAAGUUCUGUGGU